UAAACGGCCCUUUUCAGGGCCAACAAAACAAUCACGAAAGAGUUAU
rfam:Culex pipiens quinquefasciatus supercont3.477 genomic scaffold, whole genome shotgun sequence.